AGAGUUUGAUCCUGGCUCAGGAUGAACGCUGGCGGCGUGCCUAAUACAUGCAAGUCGAGCGAACUGAUUAGAAGCUUGCUUCUAUGAUGUUAGCGGCGGACGGGUGAGUAACACGUGGGCAACCUGCCUGUAAGACUGGGAUAACUUCGGGAAACCGAAGCUAAUACCGGAUAGGAUCUUCUCCUUCAUGGGAGAUGAUUGAAAGAUGGUUUCGGCUAUCACUUACAGAUGGGCCCGCGGUGCAUUAGCUAGUUGGUGAGGUAACGGCUCACCAAGGCAACGAUGCAUAGCCGACCUGAGAGGGUGAUCGGCCACACUGGGACUGAGACACGGCCCAGACUCCUACGGGAGGCAGCAGUAGGGAAUCUUCCGCAAUGGACGAAAGUCUGACGGAGCAACGCCGCGUGAGUGAUGAAGGCUUUCGGGUCGUAAAACUCUGUUGUUAGGGAAGAACAAGUACAAGAGUAACUGCUUGUACCUUGACGGUACCUAACCAGAAAGCCACGGCUAACUACGUGCCAGCAGCCGCGGUAAUACGUAGGUGGCAAGCGUUAUCCGGAAUUAUUGGGCGUAAAGCGCGCGCAGGCGGUUUCUUAAGUCUGAUGUGAAAGCCCACGG
rnacentral:rRNA from 1 species